rnacentral:rRNA from 1 species
GACGAACGCUGGCGGCGUGCUUAACACAUGCAAGUCGAACGGUGAAGCGCCUUCCUUUUUGGUGGGUGUGGAUGAGUGGCGAACGGGUGAGUAACACGUGAGUAACCUGCCCCCUUCUUCUGGAUAACCGCAUGAAAGUGUGGCUAAUACGGGAUAUUCUGGGUCUGUCGCAUGAUGGGUCUGGGAAAGAUAUUGUUUCGGUGGGGGAUGGGCUCGCGGCCUAUCAGCUUGUUGGUGGGGUGAUGGCCUACCAAGGCGGUGACGGGUAGCCGGCCUGAGAGGGUGGACGGUCACACUGGGACUGAGACACGGCCCAGACUCCUACGGGAGGCAGCAGUGGGGAAUAUUGCACAAUGGGCGCAAGCCUGAUGCAGCGACGCCGCGUGAGGGAUGGAGGCCUUCGGGUUGUGAACCUCUUUCGCCAGUGAAGCAGGCCUGCCUCGUUUGUGGGUGGGUUGACGGUAGCUGGACAAGAAGCGCCGGCUAACUACGUG